rnacentral:rRNA from 1 species
GACAUAGGUGGCGAACGUUAUCCGGAAUUAUUGGGCGUAAAGGGCUCGUAGGCGGUUUGUCGCGUCGGGAGUGAAAACCAUGCGCUUAACUCAUGGCUUGCUUUCGAUACGGGCAGACUAGAGGUAUUCAGGGGAGAACGGAAUUCCUGGUGUAGCGGUGAAAUGCGCAGAUAUCAGGAGGAACACCGGUGGCGAAGGCGGUUCUCUGGGAAUGUCCUGACGCUGAGGAGCGAAAGUGUGGGGAGCGAACAGG